rnacentral:rRNA from 1 species
GAUGAACGCUAGCGGCAGGCUUAACACAUGCAAGUCGAGGGGUAUAGGUUUUCGGACCUAGAGACCGGCGCACGGGUGCGUAACGCGUAUGCAAUCUACCUUUCACAGAGGGAUAGCCCAGAGAAACUUGGAUUAAUACCUCAUAGUAUAGCAGUUUCGCAUGAAACCACUAUUAAAGUAUCAACGGUGAAAGAUGAGCAUGCGUCCCAUUAGCUAGAUGGUGAGGUAACGGCUUACCAUGGCUACGAUGGGUAGGGGUCCUGAGAGGGAGAUCCCCCACACUGGUACUGAGACACGGACCAGACUCCUACGGGAGGCAGCAGUGAGGAAUAUUGGUUAAUGGACGCAAGUCUGAACCAGCCAUGCCGCGUGCAGGAUGACGGUCCUAUGGAUUGUAAACUGCUUUUGUACGAGAAGAAACAACAUAACGUGUAAUGUCUUGACGGUAUCGUAAGAAUAAGGAUCGGCUAACUCCGUGCCAGCCGCCGCGGUAAGAC